rnacentral:rRNA from 1 species
UGGGGAAUUUUGCACAAUGGGGGAAACCCUGAUGCAGCGACGCCGCGUGAUUUAGAAGGCCUUCGGGUGGUAAAAAUCUUUUCUAUGGGAAGAAAAUGACAGUACCAUAGGAAUAAGGACCGGCUAAUUACGUGCCAGCAGCCGCGGUAAUACGUAAGGUCCGAGCGUUGUCCGGAAUCAUUGGGCGUAAAGGGUACGUAGGCGGGUAAGCAAGUUAGAAGUGAAAUCCUGUAGCUCAACUACAGUAAGCUUUUAAAACUGCUCAUCUUGAGAUAUGGAAGGGAAAGUGGAAUUCCUAGUGUAGCGGUGAAAUGCGCAGAUAUUAGGAGGGAUACCGGUGGCGAAGGCGACUUUCUGGACAUAAUCUGACGCUGAGGUACGAAAGCGUGGGUAGCAAACAGG